GCCAGUUGGAACUUGUGAGUCCCUCCCUAUGGCUUCAUAGGCCAAGCUACAGCUGUGAAUGCGUGUUAUAACUGGGGUUUCUUGGCGCUUCCACCAAGUCUCUCUUUUAAAAGCAAUUCACAGUU
rnacentral:snoRNA from 1 species